CCGACGGUGAGGGGUGAAAGCUCGGGUCACGAACCGGAUUAGAUACCCGGGUAGUCCGAGCUGUAAACGAUGUCUGCUAGGUGUGCCACAGGCUACGAGCCUGUGGUGUGCCGUAGGGAAGCCGUGAAGCAGACCGCCUGGGAAGUACGUCCGCAAGGAUGAAACUUAAAGGAAUUGGCGGGGGAGCACUACAACCGGAGGAGCCUGCGGUUUAAUUGGACUCAACGCCGGACAUCUCACCAGCAUCGACAGUAGCAAUGAAAAUCAGUGUGAUGAGCUUAUCGGAGCUACUGAGAGGAGGUGCAUGGCCGCCGUCAGCUCGUACCGUGAGGCGUCCUGUUAAGUCAGGCAACGAGCGAGACCCGCACUCCUAAUUGCCAGCAACACCCUUGUGGUGGUUGGGUACAUUAGGAGGACUGCCAGUGCCAAACUGGAGGAAGGAACGGGCAACGGUAGGUCCGCAUGCCC
rnacentral:rRNA from 1 species